GCCCGGCUAGCUCAGUCGGUAGAGCAUGAGACUCUUAAUCUCCAAGGUCGGGUUCGGAGCCCUACGUUGGGCG
rnacentral:tRNA from 1 species